UACGGGGGGGGCAAGCGUUGUUCGGAAUUACUGGGCGUAAAGGGCGCGUAGGCGGAUGUUUAAGUCAGCGGUGAAAGCCCAGGGCUCAACCUUGGAACUGCCAUUGAUACUGGACAUCUUGAGUACGGGAGAGGUGAGUGGAACACCGAGUGUAGAGGUGAAAUUCGUAGAUAUUCGGUAGAACACCAGUGGCGAAGGCGACUCACUGGCCCGUUACUGACGCUGAGGAGCGAAAGCGUGGGGAGCGAACAGG
rnacentral:rRNA from 1 species